rnacentral:tRNA from 1 species
GGGGGAAUGGCUUAAAUGGUAAGAGUGUCUACCAAGCAAGUACAAGCUGUAAGUUCAAACCUCACUAUCCCCA